rnacentral:rRNA from 1 species
UACGUAGGGCGCGAGCGUUGUCCGGAUUUAUUGGGCGUAAAGAGCUCGUAGGCGGCUUGUCGCGUCGGCUGUGAAAACCCGCGGCUCAACUGUGGGCGGGCAGCUGAUACGGGCAGGCUGGAGUUCGGCAGGGGAGACUGGAAUUCCAGGUGUAGCGGUGAAAUGCGCAGAUAUCAGGAGGAACACCGGUGGCGAAGGCGGGUCUCUGGGCCGAUACUGACGCUGAGGAGCGAAAGCGUGGGGAGCAAACAGG